AACGAACGCUGGCGGCAUGCCUAACACACGCAAGUCGAACGAGACCUUCGGGUCUAGUGGCGCACGGGUGCGUAACGCGUGGGAACCUGCCCUUAGGUUCGGAAUAACUCCCCGAAAGGGGUGCUAAUACCGGAUAAUGUCUUCGGACUAAAGAUUUAUCGCCUUUGGAUGGGCCCGCGUUGGAUUAGCUAGUUGGUAGGGUAAAAGCCUACCAAGGCGACGAUCCAUAGCUGGUCUGAGAGGAUGAUCAGCCACACUGGGACUGAGACACGGCCCAGACUCCUACGGGAGGCAGCAGUGGGGAAUAUUGGACAAUGGGCGAAAGCCUGAUCCAGCAAUGCCGCGUGAGUGAUGAAGGCCUUAGGGUUGUAAAGCUCUUUUACCCGGGAUGAUAAUGACAGUACCGGGAGAAUAAGCUCCGGCUAACUCCGUG
rnacentral:rRNA from 1 species